CCUACGGGUGGCUGCAGUGGGGAAUAUUGCACAAUGGGGGAAACCCUGAUGCAGCCAUGCCGCGUGUGUGAAGAAGGCCUUCGGGUUGUAAAGCACUUUCAGUGGGGAGGAAGGGCUGAUGACUAAUAUUCAUCAGCAUUGACGUUACCCACAGAAGAAGCACCGGCUAACUCCGUGCCAGCAGCCGCGGUAAUACGGAGGGUGCAAGCGUUAAUCGGAAUAACUGGGCGUAAAGCGCACGCAGGCGGUUAGAUAAGUCAGAUGUGAAAGCCCCGGGCUCAACCUGGGAACUGCAUUUGAAACUGUCUGACUAGAGUCUUGUAGAGGGGGGUAGAAUUCCAGGUGUAGCGGUGAAAUGCGUAGAGAUCUGGAGGAAUACCGGUGGCGAAGGCGGCCCCCUGGACAAAGACUGACGCUCAGGUGCGAAAGCGUGGGGAGCAAACAGGAUUAGAUACCCGAGUAGUC
rnacentral:rRNA from 1 species